rnacentral:tRNA from 1 species
GCUCUUCUAGUAUAAUAAUUACAAUUGACUUCCAAUCUUUAAAUUCUGGAUUACAACCAGAGAAGAGCA